GGGUCAGUAGGUUGGUCGUGCCACCGGUACGUACUGGUCUCACUGACUCCUCCUUCCUGAAGAACCGUAAUGCCAUUAAUUUGGUGUUGCGGGGAAACAGGACUGUUACUUUGAAAAAAUUAGAGUGUUUAAAGCAAGUUAACGCUUGAAUACAUUAGCAUGGAAUAAUGAAAUAGGACGAUCGAUCCUAUUUUGUUGGUUUCUAGGAUUGACGUA
rnacentral:rRNA from 1 species